rnacentral:rRNA from 1 species
CCUACGGGAGGCAGCAGUGAGGAAUAUUGGUCAAUGGACGCAAGUCUGAACCAGUCAUGCCGCGUGCAGGAAGACGGCUCUAUGAGUUGUAAACUGCUUUUGUACGAGGGUAAACUCAGAUACGCGUAUCUGUCUGAAAGUAUCUUACGAAUAAGGAUCGGCUAACUCCGUGCCAGCAGCCGCGGUAAUACGGAGGAUUCAAGCGUUAUCCGGAUUUAUUGGGUUUAAAGGGUGCGUAGGCGGUCGGAUAAGUUAGAGGUGAAAUCCCGAGGCUCAACUUCGGAAUUGCCUCUGAUACUGUUAGGCUAGAGAGUAGUUGCGGUAGGCGGAAUGUAUGGUGUAGCGGUGAAAUGCUUAGAGAUCAUACAGAACACCGAUUGCGAAGGCAGCUUACCAAGCUACGUCUGACGUUGAGGCACGAAAGCGUGGGGAGCAAACAGGAUUAGAUACCCCAGUAGUC